UACGUAGGGACCAAGCGUUGUUCGGAUUUACUGGGCGUAAAGGGCGCGUAGGCGGCGUGGUAAGUCACUUGUGAAAUCUCUGAGCUUAACUCAGAACGGCCAAGUGAUACUGCUGUGCUAGAGUGCAGAAGGGGCAAUCGGAAUUCUUGGUGUAGCGGUGAAAUGCGCAGAUAUCAGGAGGAACACCGGUGGCGAAGGCGGGUCUCUGGGCCGAUACUGACGCUGAGGCGCGACAGCGUGGGGAGCAAACAGG
rnacentral:rRNA from 1 species